AGCGAACGCUGGCGGCAGGCUUAAUACAUGCAAGUCGAGCGGGCGUAGCAAUACGUCAGCGGCAGACGGGUGAGUAACACGUGGGAACGUGCCUUUUGGUUCGGAACAACCCAGGGAAACUUGGGCUAAUACCGGAUAAGCCCUUCGGGGAAGAUUUAUCGCCAAAAGAUCGGCCCGCGUCUGAUUAGCUAGUUGGUGGGGUAAUGGCCCACCAAGGCGACGAUCAGUAGCUGGUCUGAGAGGAUGAUCAGCCACACUGGGACUGAGACACGGCCCAGACUCCUACGGGAGGCAGCAGUAGGGAAUAUUGGACAAUGGGGGAAACCCUGAUCCAGCCAUGCCGCGUGAGUGAUGAAGGCCUUAGGGUUGUAAAGCUCUUUCAGCGGGGAAGAUAAUGACGGUACCCGCAGAAGAAGCCCCGGCUAACUUCGUGCCAGCAGCCGCCGC
rnacentral:rRNA from 1 species